UACGUAGGGGGCAAGCGUUGUCCGGAUUUAUUGGGCGUAAAGAGCGUGUAGGCGGCCAGGUAGGUCCGUUGUGAAAACUCGAGGCUCAACCUCGAGACGUCGGCGGAAACCCUCUGGCUAGAGUCCGGAAGAGGAGAGUGGAAUUCCUGGUGUAGCGGUGAAAUGCGCAGAUAUCGGGAAGAACACCCGUGGCGAAGGCGGCACUCUGGGACGGUACUGACGCUGAGGAGCGAAAGCGUGGGGAGCAAACAGG
rnacentral:rRNA from 1 species